rnacentral:ribozyme from 1 species
CUACGUAUCCUCCAAGGGGAAGUGGAGCGCAUAUUGGUGUUUCGUCGUAUUCAUCUCUGGAAAUGAGGUGGAGCUAAGCCUUUGCGGAGAGGAGUCCCUUCCCCUUGACA